UACGUAGGUGGCAAGCGUUGUCCGGAUUUACUGGGCGUAAAGAGCGCGCAGGCGGUCGUGCAAGUCGCGUGUGAAAGCCCCCCGGCUCAACUGGGGAGGGUCACGCGAUACUGCUCGACUGGAAGGCAGGAGAGGGAAGCAGAAUUCCCGGUGUAGUGGUGAAAUUCGUAGAUAUCGAGAAGAACACCGGUGGCGAAGGCGGCGACCUGGUCCGAUACUGACGCUGAGGCGC
rnacentral:rRNA from 1 species